rnacentral:pre_miRNA from 9 species
UCUCGAUAGCGUAAAAGUUAACUCAAAUUUGUAUGGCGUUGGAACGUUUGCCUACGUUUGCCGUUAGGGGCGCUGUUCCAACUCCAUUCACAUUUGAGUUAACUUUUACGCUAUCGA